UAAAAGAUUGGUUUUAAGUAUGCAAAAAGAUCAAUAAAUAAGACAAAUGAAUAGAUAAUGAAUUUUAGAGGUAUAUAUAUAAUAGAUAAGGUAUCAAUAGAUAGUCUUGGUAGAAACUUGAAUAGAUAUAUUCAUCAAAAUAUGAAAGUUAUUUAUUAGGGCAACAACCACCACCUAUAAGUAAUAGAUAUUAGAAAGAAGAGUUAUCUUAUUAUAUAAUCUCUUUAUGU
rnacentral:lncRNA from 1 species